CCCUUAGAUGUUCUGGGCCGCACGCGCGCUACACUGAUGCGUUCAACGAGUAUACAACCUUGAUCGAUAGGUCUGGGUAAUCUUGUGAAUGCGCAUCGUGCUAGGGAUAGAUUGUUGCAAUUUUCAAUCUUGAACGAGGAAUUCCUAGUAAACGCAAGUCAUCAGCUUGCAUUGAUUACGUCCCUGCCCUUUGUACACACCGCCCGUCGCACCUACCGAUUGAAUGGUCCGGUGAAGCCUCGGGAUUGUGGCCAGUUCACUUUAUUGGGAGUUGGCUGUGAGAACUUGUCUAAACCUUAUCAUUUAGAGGAAGGUGAAGUCGUAACA
rnacentral:rRNA from 1 species